GAUGAACGCUGGCGGCGUGCCUAAUACAUGCAAGUCGAGCGAACGGACGAGAAGCUUGCUUCUCUGAUGUUAGCGGCGGACGGGUGAGUAACACGUGGAUAACCUACCUAUAAGACUGGGAUAACUUCGGGAAACCGGAGCUAAUACCGGAUAAUAUUUUGAACCGCAUGGUUCAAAAGUGAAAGACGGUCUUGCUGUCACUUAUAGAUGGAUCCGCGCUGCAUUAGCUAGUUGGUAAGGUAACGGCUUACCAAGGCAACGAUGCAUAGCCGACCUGAGAGGGUGAUCGGCCACACUGGAACUGAGACACGGUCCAGACUCCUACGGGAGGCAGCAGUAGGGAAUCUUCCGCAAUGGGCGAAAGCCUGACGGAGCAACGCCGCGUGAGUGAUGAAGGUCUUCGGAUCGUAAAACUCUGUUAUUAGGGAAGAACAUAUGUGUAAGUAACUGUGCACAUCUUGACGGUACCUAAUCAGAAAGCCACGGCUAACUACGUGCCAGCAGCCGCGGUAAUACGUAGGUGGCAAGCGUUAUCCGGAAUUAUUGGGCGUAAAGCGCGCGUAGGCGGUUUUUUAAGUCUGAUGUGAAAGCCCACGGCUCAACCGUGGAGGGUCAUUGGAAACUGGAAAACUUGAGUGCAGAAGAGGAAAGUGGAAUUCCAUGUGUAGCGGUGAAAUGCGCAGAGAUAUGGAGGAACACCAGUGGCGAAGGCGACUUUCUGGUCUGUAACUGACGCUGAUGUGCGAAAGCGUGGGGAUCAAACAGGAUUAGAUACCCAGGUAGUCCACGCCGUAAACGAUGAGUGCUAAGUGUUAGGGGGUUUCCGCCCCUUAGUGCUGCAGCUAACGCAUUAAGCACUCCGCCUGGGGAGUACGACCGCAAGGUUGAAACUCAAAGGAAUUGACGGGGACCCGCACAAGCGGUGGAGCAUGUGGUUUAAUUCGAAGCAACGCGAAGAACCUUACCAAAUCUUGACAUCCUUUGACAACUCUAGAGAUAGAGCCUUCCCCUUCGGGGGACAAAGUGACAGGUGGUGCAUGGUUGUCGUCAGCUCGUGUCGUGAGAUGUUGGGUUAAGUCCCGCAACGAGCGCAACCCUUAAGCUUAGUUGCCAUCAUUAAGUUGGGCACUCUAAGCUGACUGCCGGUGACAAACCGGAGGAAGGUGGGGAUGACGUCAAAUCAUCAUGCCCCUUAUGAUUUGGGCUACACACGUGCUACAAUGGACAAUACAAAGGGCAGCGAAACCGCGAGGUCAAGCAAAUCCCAUAAAGUUGUUCUCAGUUCGGAUUGUAGUCUGCAACUCGACUACAUGAAGCUGGAAUCGCUAGUAAUCGUAGAUCAGCAUGCUACGGUGAAUACGUUCCCGGGUCU
rnacentral:rRNA from 1 species